rnacentral:rRNA from 1 species
UAGGGAAUCUUCCGCAAUGGACGCAAGUCUGACGGAGCAACGCCGCGUGAGUGAUGAAGGUUUUCGGAUCGUAAAGCUCUGUUGCCCUAGACGAACAGCAAGGAGAGUAACUGCUCUUUGUGUGACGGUAUAGGAGAAGAAAGCCCCGGCUAACUACGUGCCAGCAGCCGCGGUAAUACGUAGGGGGCAAGCGUUGUCCGGAAUUAUUGGGCGUAAAGCGCGCGCAGGCGGUCAUUUAAGUCUGGUGUUUAAUCCUGGGGCUCAACCCCAGUUCGCAUCGGAAACUGGAUGACUUGAGUGUAGGAGAGGAAAGUGGAAUUCCACGUGUAGCGGUGAAAUGCGUAGAGAUGUGGAGGAACACCAGUGGCGAAGGCGACUUUCUGGCCUAUAACUGACGCUGAGGCGCGAAAGCGUGGGGAGCAAACA